UACGUAGGGUGCAAGCGUUAAUCGGAAUUACUGGGCGUAAAGCGUGCGCAGGCGGUUAUGUAAGACAGAUGUGAAAUCCCCGGGCUCAACCUGGGGAACUGCAUUUGUGACUGCAUAGCUGGAGUACGGUAGAGGGGGAUGGAAUUCCGCGUGUAGCAGUGAAAUGCGUAGAUAUGCGGGAGGAACACCGAUGGCGAAGGCAAUCCCCUGGACCUGUACUGACGCUCAUGCACGAAAGCGUGGGGGAGCAAACGAGG
rnacentral:rRNA from 1 species